AUUGAACGCUGGCGGCAUGCCUUACACAUGCAAGUCGAACGGCAGCGGGGGAGAAGCUUGCUUUUCCUGCCGGCGAGUGGUGAACGGGUGAGUAAUACAUCGGAACGUGCCCUGUAGUGGGGGAUAACUAGUCGAAAGAUUAGCUAAUACCGCAUACGACCUGAGGGUGAAAGUGGGGCACCGCAAGGCCUAAUGCUACAGUAGCGGCCGAUGUCUGAUUAGCUAGUUGGUGGGGUAAAGGCCUACCAAGGCGACGAUCAGUAGCUGGUCUGAGAGGACGAUCAGCCACACUGGGACUGAGACACGGCCCAGACUCCUACGGGAGGCAGCAGUGGGGAAUUUUGGACAAUGGGCGAAAGCCUGAUCCAGCAAUGCCGCGUGUGUGAAGAAGGCCUUCGGGUUGUAAAGCACUUUUGUCCGGAAAGAAAUGGCUCUGGUUAAUACCUGGGGUCGAUGACGGUACCGGAAGAAUAAGGACCGGCUAACUACGUGCCAGCCGCCGCGGUAA
rnacentral:rRNA from 1 species